rnacentral:rRNA from 1 species
GACGAACGCUGGCGGCGUGCCUAAUACAUGCCAGUAGAACGCUGAAGGAGGAGCUUGCUUCUCUGGAUGAGUUGCGAACGGGUGAGUAACGCGUAGGUAACCUGCCUGGUAGCGGGGGAUAACUAUUGGAAACGAUAGCUAAUACCGCAUAAUAGUAGAUGUUGCAUGACAUUUGCUUAAAAGGUGCAAUUGCAUCACUACCAGAUGGACCUGCGUUGUAUUAGCUAGUUGGUGGGGUAACGGCUCACCAAGGCGACGAUACAUAGCCGACCUGAGAGGGUGAUCGGCCACACUGGGACUGAGACACGGCCCAGACUCCUACGGGAGGCAGCAGUAGGGAAUCUUCGGCAAUGGACGGAAGUCUGACCGAGCAACGCCGCGUGAGUGAAGAAGGGUUUCGGAUCGUAAAGCUCUGUUGUAAGAGAAGAACGAGUGUGAGAGUGGAAAGUUCACACUGUGACGGUAUCUUACCAGAAAGGGACGGCUAACUACGUG